rnacentral:rRNA from 1 species
AUGAACGCUAGCGACAGGCUUAACACAUGCAAGUCGAGGGGCAGCACAGGUAGCAAUACCGGGUGGCGACCGGCGCACGGGUGAGUAACGCGUAUGCAACUUGCCUAUCAGAGGGGGAUAACCCGGCGAAAGUCGGACUAAUACCGCAUGAAGCAGGGAUCCCGCAUGGGAAUAUUUGCUAAAGAUUCAUCGCUGAUAGAUAGGCAUGCGUUCCAUUAGGCAGUUGGCGGGGUAACGGCCCACCAAACCGACGAUGGAUAGGGGUUCUGAGAGGAAGGUCCCCCACAUUGGUACUGAGACACGGACCAAACUCCUACGGGAGGCAGCAGUGAGGAAUAUUGGUCAAUGGCCGAGAGGCUGAACCAGCCAAGUCGCGUGAGGGAUGAAGGUUCUAUGGAUCGUAAACCUCUUUUAUAAGGGAAUAAAGUGCGGGACGUGUCCCGUUUUGUAUGUACCUUAUGAAUAAGGAUCGGCUAACUCCGUGCCAGCAGCCGCGGUAAUACGGAGGAUCCGAGCGUUAUCCGGAUUUAUUGGGUUUAAAGGGUGCGUAGGCGGCCUUUUAAGUCAGCGGUGAAAGUCUGUGGCUCAACCAUAGAAUUGCCGUUGAAACUGGGGGGCUUGAGUAUGUUUGAGGCAGGCGGAAUGCGUGGUGUAGCGGUGAAAUGCAUAGAUAUCACGCAGAACCCCGAUUGCGAAGGCAGCCUGCCAAGCCAUGACUGACGCUGAUGCACGAAAGCGUGGGGAUCAAACAGGAUUAGAUACCCUGGUAGUCCACGCAGUAAACGAUGAUCACUAGCUGUUUGCGAUACACUGUAAGCGGCACAGCGAAAGCGUUAAGUGAUCCACCUGGGGAGUACGCCGGCAACGGUGAAACUCAAAGGAAUUGACGGGGGCCCGCACAAGCGGAGGAACAUGUGGUUUAAUUCGAUGAUACGCGAGGAACCUUACCCGGGUUUGAACGCAUUCGGACCGAGGUGGAAACACCUUUUCUAGCAAUAGCCGUUUGCGAGGUGCUGCAUGGUUGUCGUCAGCUCGUGCCGUGAGGUGUCGGCUUAAGUGCCAUAACGAGCGCAACCCUUGCCACUAGUUACUAACAGGUAAUGCUGAGGACUCUGGUGGGACUGCCAGCGUAAGCUGCGAGGAAGGCGGGGAUGACGUCAAAUCAGCACGGCCCUUACAUCCGGGGCGACACACGUGUUACAAUGGCGUGGACAAAGGGAGGCCACCUGGCGACAGGGAGCGAAUCCCCAAACCACGUCUCAGUUCGGAUCGGAGUCUGCAACCCGACUCCGUGAAGCUGGAUUCGCUAGUAAUCGCGCAUCAGCCAUGGCGCGGUGAAUACGUUCCCGGGCCUUGUACACACCGCCCGUCAAGCCAUGGGAGCCGGGGGUACCUGAAGUCCGUAACCGCGAGGAUCGGCCUAGGGUAAAACUGGUGACUGGGGCU